UCACCGCCCCUCGCCAGCAACGCGUUUUCAGGAAGAAGUUGGCGCCAGAAGCCCUGCUUGCUAUUAGCUCUCGGGCUAACUGUAACAAUGACAUAUGUCCUACUAUAAUUUUUUUGGACUCGUGUCACUGUAAAAUAACUCCAACAUGAGUGAAAUGGAGUUCAGCGUCCCCCUGUCAUCCCUGGCUCUCCUGGUCCCUCCUCUCAGGCUGAUGUCUGCAGUGAUGUGGGAAGUGGUACGACAGAGAAACACGAACCACUACGGAAAACUGGAGGAGUUCGUUUCCAUGGUUACAGAUGCUGUACCUGAUCUGAUGAGUAAAAGAGAGGGAAGGCUGCUCUCACUGGGUCUGAGGGCAAGGACCACCUUGGAGCUGCUACGCUCGGAGCACCCUGAAGACCUCAAGGCUGUGGAGACUCACCUGAAUAGAAUCAGGACUUCCUGCAUUGAGGAGGCGAAUGAGCUCGAUCUUGAGGCACCAGAGGCCAACUUUAUGAAGUUGGUCCAGGGUCUCAUUGAGGACACAGAUGGAAGGGAACAUUUUCUUAAGAAUGUCUUUCCUGUCGAGUAUGGCCCUGACUUUGACACAGCACUGGAGACGCUGGUGUGCGAGUUCUUCUCUCGGCUGGAGGAGCUGCUUCCUAUACCAGACUUCAAACAGACUGCAUCCUGGAUAAGUGCUGCCCCCUCUGUCUUGGAAGAGUACAUGCAGUGUGUCUCAAAUGGCGAUGACCUCAAGUUACUUCUCCAGAGCAAGCAGUGUCAUGGAAAGUUGGCUAAGACCAGUGUUGCUCAGUUCCCAUCAGAUGAUCUUCUCAUUUCCUCUUUGUCUCUCCCUCCAUCGCUGGAAGUUGCCAUCACCUCUCAUACCAGUGGCUGUGAUGAUGAAAAUAAUGUCGUUCCUCAGAUUGUCAUGUUCGAUGAGGAGCUGUCUACGCAUCCGUCUACUUCAGCCGACUUUCCCGACUCUCCUAAACAGCCUGAGAUGUCUCCUCCUCGUCGGCGACAGCAGCAGGGAGUCCAUAAAUGCCCUGACUGUGACAAAUGCUUCAAGCAUCACUCUGUCCUUAUCGAGCACCAGCGGCUUCACAGUGGCCUGCAGCCUUACAACUGCUCCGAGUGUGGCAGAGCUUUCAGAACCGCCACCCUGCUCGCUGGGCACAGGCUGCGCAAGUGCAAAAAUGCUGCUUACCUGUGCAUCAAGUGCGGCAACAGCUUUCCCACGUCUCUGGACAAAUUUCGUCAUCACUGCCCGAAACGGGGCCGUAGCUAUGAAUGCAGGCAUUGCAGGAAGACUUUCCAAAAGUCCAGCAGCCUGAAAGAACAUCUACUGACACACUCGCAGAGCCGCCUGUUUAAGUGCAGCCAUUGUGGCCUUGGGUUUUCAGGCAUCGGUGACUUGAAGUAUCAUCAGCAAGUGGAUCAUGAUAAGCCCUAUCAAUGUAAGGAUUGUGGGAAGAGCUUUAUCUCCUCCAAGAGUCUGACUAAACAUCAACAACGCCAUGAAGAGCUCAGAGAAAUGGAGACGGUGAAGAUGAUGAGUGGAGGAAAACACGGGAAAAGUGGGUCCUCUCAUCGCUCCGCCUCAGCAUCGAUGUCGUCCAGAAAAGUGUCUGUCAAGGCGGUUUACACCCGUGGUAGAGUCACACACAACUGUCCGCUGUGUGGGAGGAGUUUCAAGUACCGCUUUGAGUUCCUUGAACAUCAGAGGUUCCACACAGCCACAAAGCCAUACAGAUGCUCCCAGUGUGGGAAAGCCUUCCGCACCGAGGCCCACCUGUCCGGCCACAGGAAGAGGAAGUGUAAAAACGCUGCCCACGUUUGCACCAAGUGCGGCUCACAGUUCAGAUCCCUGCAUGAGCGUGUGAGACACCAGUGUGUGCAGCUGCUCACCAAGUAUCAGUGUUCUCAUUGUGGGAAGACCUUCAAGAUGGCCCACCAGCUGCGCAACCACCAGAUGACCGAGCAUCAGCUCCCCUACAGCCCCAACCACCGCUUCAGGUGCAGGUACUGCGAUGCCACGUUUCCGGGUAUCAGCGAACUCAAGUACCAUCAGAGAGUGGACCACGAGAAGCCAUACCAGUGCCAGGAGUGUGGCAAGUGCUUCCUGUCCGAGAAGUGUCUGUCCAAUCACGAGCUUCGCCACAACGAUGACAGACCAGAGAGCUGUCUGGUUUGUGGUCGCGGCUUUAGAAACCGCUACGACUUAAAGCAGCACAUGCGGACUCACACGGGCGAGCGUCCUUACCAGUGCACCCACUGUUCCCAGUGCUUCUCCACGGCCGGGGGUCUGAGGAGCCACACCCGUGUCCACACCGGUGAGAAACCACACGUCUGUCCGGAUUGUGGGAAGGCGUUCUCCCAGAUGGGAGCAAUGCGCACCCACAGACUCACCCACACGGGAGAGAGGCCCUUCAAGUGCACCGUGUGUGGAAAAGGUUUCACCAUGGCACAUAAGGUAACCGUGCACAUGCGCGUGCACACUGGAGAGAGACCAUACGUGUGCUCCCAGUGCGGGAAAGCAUUUUCUGACGGAAGUGUUCUGAAGCAACACAUGCUAAACCACUCUGGCGUCAGACCCUUCCACUGCCAGAUCUGCCCCAAGACCUACACCUGCCUGAACCACCUGAGGAGGCACCUGAAGAGUCAUUCCAACAUGACAAUCAACGUUAAGUGGACUGACUCGCGUUGAAGUGGCUUUUACUCGGUUUCAUGUCAUGGUUGUUGCAGUUCUAUGAUGGAGACAAUUUUGGUGAGGAUGUAGCCAUGUCUGAUACAUAUACACCAUUAUUUUGGUGUUACGAAAUGGUGAUGACAGCCUAGGUAGGUAUCAAACCAGUGACAGUAUGUGAUAUUUCUGGUUGUAAUGUUAGCUGCUGACUUGUGUUUCUAUUGACAGGUUAUUUCAAAUUGGGUGAGAAGCCCAACCGACCACUUGGGAGUGAGAGUAGAGCUGCUGCCUCAUCACAUAGGAAGUAUUGCGGACGCCUCACUUGGAUCUCACCUGACUUCUUCAGCAGGUUUUCUUUGCACAUCAUGCACAGAGACACCAGGGCGAUCCCAGAUAAGUUUUAAUUGAGCCACAUAGCAAAUGAUGACAUACACAUCUACUUACAUCCGUUUUGAUCGGGGCAGAUUGCUGCUCCAUGCAACAGUCUUUUUGCUGUGUGUCCACGUUUACACUACCUCAACGCUAGAUGGCAGUAUUUCACUGUUACACUUGGGAAAUGUAUUUUUUUAAUAUUUAAUUUAUUUUAUUUGAGUAUUUUAUUUUCAUGAAAUGUUUUGUUUGUGUUUUUAAAGGAAUUAUUAUGACGCAUUAUUUAGGAAAAGCAGGCCUGAUGAACCAGCAUCAGAUGUCCAUUCCCCUUUCCUGUCAUUAUCGGCGUGGUUGAGAAUCUUGAUUAGCCCACCAUUUCCUGUCUGUGAGGCUGUUGUCUAGAACAUCUGAAGCAGACUCUGCUCCACAUGCAGCCAUGAUGACAUCCAGAUUAAUCCCUUCCAUCUGCUCUGGUUUACAUAUUUUGGUUUGGUGAAAAACAAAACCCCUUUCCGUCUAGUGCUGCAACUUUUGGGUCACACUUUCUCAAUUAAAGUCCUAGACAAUGAAGUUCUGAAGUAACACUGCGCUAACGCACACACUGAAGUGAUCAAGUCUCUUUUUUUUCUGUCUGACUCAGAAACACCGGUGAUUCUGCAGAAAGUCAUUUUGCCAGAAUACGCCUCCGGGACGCAAACCAGACCCCUUCCCUGGAAAUACCUCUCUACAUGUUGGUGAACCAAUUUUUACAUGACGCGUUUCCUUUGCUUGUUGGCUUCAGUGUGAGAUCACCCAGUGAUGUCAGCUCACACCUGCCAGCCUCAUGCAGCAAGAAACCUCUGACUUCUGCUCCCUUCACCACAGCUGCAUGAUGAACUUGGUGAACUUGAAAUUUAACGACUCCCCGAAAUAUGUAAUGAGCAUCGUAGAUGAACUUCUACACACUUUGAUACUGCCAACAAUGUACAAUGAGCGCUUGACAUAUAAACCCAGAUCACUGCCAGAUGUGCCUCUUUUCAGCCCUCCUACCAUGUUUCUUCAGAAUCUGGGGGGGAAAAAACGUGAGCUCAGUGGAAAAUUUGAGUCCAACUCUUCACUUGUCCAACAACCAUGGAACAUCCUCCCACACCAACACCUUGCCAAAUCCAGGCUUCCAGCCUCCUCCCACAAACAAGACGCCCCUCUACAGUCAGGGCCGCUAGAUGAUGCUGUUUCCCUUCAGGUUACCGGUGGAAACCGGCGUAAAACCCCUAUUCUCCACCUCCAUACCUCAGCCCCCACCUUAAAAAAAAAACUUUUUUAUGUUCCCGUCAGGUCCAUGGACCGAGGUGAACCAGAUGUAAUGAAACCCCUCCUCCUUUUUCUUCAGAAAAAUUCUUCUACACAAAAAAAAAAUGAUCUCAUGAUGCUGCAGCUGCUUGUCAUUAUGUGUGUUUGCCGCAGUCUACAUGUAUUUUGUGCCCGAGAACUCUUUUAUCUCCCAAGUAAACCUAGACUAAAGCAUUGAUUACAACAAAAGGUCAACGGAUGUUUGGA